CAUAAACAAGGAAAUCAUGUGCCAAAUCAGCCUUGGAGAGAGAUUUCGCCGCUGUCUAAUGUCGUGAGGGCCUUCGUUGGAUCACGCGACUACUUGGCAUCACUUCCGUGUCAGAGAGAGUGUGAGAGAACACACAGUAUCUCAAAAGUAUGGUUGCUUUUCAGGUCAUACCUUAAUCUGUCUCUUGGAGACCCUCUCAGCAAAUACGGAAUAUAGAUGGUAGAUACUACUUUUCGUAUGUUUUCCUUAUACCAUCCGAAAGUAAUGGUGGCCCUGAAACUGACAUGCGAGCUGACAAAAGUAGCACCAAUUGAAGUUUAGCAGCCAUAAGCAAAGAUUUUUUAUAUGAAUAUUCACAAUAAACGAAACUAACAGGA